rnacentral:misc_RNA from 1 species
GCAAACUUGGUCAUUUAGAGGAAGUAAAAGUCGUAACAAGGUCUCCGUUGGUGAACCAGCGGAGGGAUCAUUACUGAGUUUUCGAACUCCCAAACCUUUGUGAACAUACCACUGUUGCUUCGGCGGACUCGUCCCGGGCGCGCCUUCACGGUCGUGUUCCGGAUCCAGGCGGCCGCCGAGGGUAUCAAACUCUUGUCUUUAUAGCAGGCUUCUGAGUAUCAUGAGUAAAUAAAUUAAAACUUUCAGCAACGGAUCUCUUGGUUCUGGCAUCGAUGAAGAACGCAGC